rnacentral:rRNA from 1 species
CAGUAGCCGCGGGAAUACGUAGGUGGCAAGCGUUGUCCGGAAUUAUUGGGCGUAAAGCGCGCGCAGGCGGAUCAGUUAGUCUGUCUUAAAAGUUCGGGGCUUAACCCCGUGAUGGGAUGGAAACCGCUGAUCUAGAGUAUCGGAGAGGAAAGUGGAAUUCCUAGUGUAGCGGUGAAAUGCGUAGAUAUUAGGAAGAACACCAGUGGCGAAGGCGACUUUCUGGACGAAAACUGACGCUGAGGCGCGAAAGCCAGGGGAGCGAACGGGAUUAGAUACCCCCGUAGUCCCUGUCUCUUAUACA